ACGCUGGCGGCAGGCCUAACACAUGCAAGUCGAGCGGAAACGACACUAACAAUCCUUCGGGUGCGUUAAUGGGCGUCGAGCGGCGGACGGGUGAGUAAUGCCUAGGAAAUUGCCUUGAUGUGGGGGAUAACCAUUGGAAACGAUGGCUAAUACCGCAUAAUGCCUACGGGCCAAAGAGGGGGAUCUUCGGACCUCUCGCGUCAAGAUAUGCCUAGGUGGGAUUAGCUAGUUGGUGAGGUAAUGGCUCACCAAGGCGACGAUCCCUAGCUGGUCUGAGAGGAUGAUCAGCCACACUGGAACUGAGACACGGUCCAGACUCCUACGGGAGGCAGCAGUGGGGAAUAUUGCACAAUGGGCGAAAGCCUGAUGCAGCCAUGCCGCGUGUAUGAAGAAGGCCUUCGGGUUGUAAAGUACUUUCAGUUGUGAGGAAGGGGGUAACGUUAAUAGCGUUAUCUCUUGACGUUAGCAACAGAAGAAGCACCGGCUAACUCCGUGCCAGCAGCCGCGGUAAUACGGAGGGUGCGAGCGUUAAUCGGAAUUACUGGGCGUAAAGCGCAUGCAGGUGGUUCAUUAAGUCAGAUGUGAAAGCCCGGGGCUCAACCUCGGAACUGCAUUUGAAACUGGUGAACUAGAGUGCUGUAGAGGGGGGUAGAAUUUCAGGUGUAGCGGUGAAAUGCGUAGAGAUCUGAAGGAAUACCAGUGGCGAAGGCGGCCCCCUGGACA
rnacentral:rRNA from 8 species